UCCGGUUUGUCACCGGCAGUCUCUCCAGAGUGCCCUUGCGUAGCAACUGGAGACAAGGGUUGCGCUCGUUGCGGGACUUAACCCAACAUCUCACGACACGAGCUGACGACAGCCAUGCAGCACCUGUGUGCAGGUUCCCUUUCGGGCACCCCCGCAUCUCUGCAGGGUUCCUGCCAUGUCAAGGGUAGGUAAGGUUUUUCGCGUUGCAUCGAAUUAAUCCACAUCAUCCACCGCUUGUGCGGGUCCCCGUCAAUUCCUUUGAGUUUUAAUCUUGCGACCGUACUCCCCAGGCGGAAUGCUUAAUGCGUUAGCUGCGCCACCGACGGGCAAGCCCGCCAACGGCUGGCAUUCAUCGUUUACGGCGUGGACUAC
rnacentral:misc_RNA from 1 species